CAACUCCACGCGUUGCAAUUCGUAGCGUUUAUCUUUUACAUUUUAGAAGUACAUGCGCUACAGCUCCACGCGUUGCAAUUCGUCUCGUAGCAAUUUCAUGUACGUCUAGCAAUGCACGUGCAAUUCGAUACGCUGUAUUUGACUCGUUGUGAUUUGACACGUUAUAUUUCUACACGUUGCAAUUCUAUACGUCACAAUGCAUCUUGUAGCACCCUUCCGUGUUACAUUGCAAUUCUAGGCGUGGCAAUAUCAAUGCAUAUAAGCUAUUAUCAAUGUACAUAUAGUGUCAAGCUUUCAAUAAACAAUUUUGGAAAGUACCGAGCUGCACAAUGAUAAGAGCGUAACAGCUGGAAGUACAAAAAUAGCAACAUAUCGAAAGUCUACUGUAUCUCGAUGUGCAUAAGCGUUGAAGGUCGUACGACAAGUUCAUUAUAAUCGAAAGUUACGAAAGAAGAAUUUUUGCUAAAAUUGGACUGGGAGUUUAAAAACAGAAGAUAUUGGGAAAAUAUAUGAAGAUUUAUAUUAAGGCUCAUUUAAAUAUUCACCGUUUCCUUUGGUACGUCAUUUUUGUCGCAAAGGAAAACAGGCCCACUGUGAAUAUUGUUAGCAUACAGGAAAGGUUACGUAAGCAAGUGCAUCAUAGCGUGAAGAUGACAAUAUUGGGAGGAUAAGCUGAAUACCUUGCGUAAUCGUAUUGAAUAGAAGAAAUGAAAGAAAUGAUCUCACCUGCUGCGGAUGCCAAGUAUGCUGAAAGAAGCUUUUGAAACACCUCAUACUGGAUGGCAUUCUUUUUCUCGUUGAUCACCGCAUUCUUAUCAAAAAGAAUUGCAGCACUUCACUGUGAAAAUUAAGAAUCUUACGAUUUGAUCAAACGACAGGCGUUAAAUGUACGCGGAAAUUAAGAGAGUAACUGCGAACGGUGUCGUAAGAUUACAAAGUGCAUUCGCAUCUGCACGAAUGAUCGCCAGGCGAAAGUUUUGAAGCGUACUCGACGGUGUGCGGUCAACAACUAAUGAAGUUCGAGCCGAUAGCAGCAACAACUCGCACGAAGCGUGUAACAUUGACUGUUGAAGCUCUCGUGUGACAUACAAAGAUCUUUUCAGCCUACUCCAAACCUACAUACAAUUAUUCGCGUACAAAUACUUGUGGAACAAAUAUUUACUCGUUUACAAAAACAGGAAAAUACGGAGACACAAACAUUUGUCCAGAACUCUGUUUACAAUGUUUCGUGUUGUAAUUAAAUGAUGCCAUCAACAAGACAUACAUUUGGUACAACUUCUGCUUACAUUUAAUUAGAGACAAUCUACUUUGUCAUGUUUUACAUUAUAAUUACAUAAUUAUUAUUGCAAUCGUUAAAUCAGUGUACUGUAUUUAAAAAU